AAAAAGGUAAGCUAAAUAAGCUACUGGGUUCAUACCCCACUUAUAGAGGUUCAACCCUUUUCUUUUUA
rnacentral:tRNA from 1 species